UGAACCCCACCGGUCAACAACUUUCAACAACCCGGCCCGACUCUUCCGGUUAUCAUGGUCAACCCCGUCACAUUCUGCACCCGUCUUUCUUCAGUUCAGGUUGCUUCAUCCCAUAUCCCUCCAUCUGCUCGCUGUCAAAGCCGAAGCCACAUCGGAGGGAGAGGCGCCCGUCGCUGAGAGCUCGCGACCGAGGAAACCGUAGCUGGUGGGUCCAAUGGCAUUGGAGUAGGGAGCGGCGCGGUGACCGGAUCCGCCGAGCGAUGGGGAAGGGCACCGGGGACCAGCCGGACUCAGCUGGAAAGGAGGAGGAGGAGACGGGGACGGCUCGGGGGAGGCGCCUGGGGAAGCGGGGCGAGUGCGGCGCCGAUGGCGGUGCUGCUCGGCGCUGUUCUGGCUGCCCCUGUUCGCGCGGCGGCGGAAGCGGGGGAGUACAGGUGGCGCGGAGCUGAUGUGGGUUUCAUGCUUUGCGAAGGACGCUUUCUGAGCUUAAUGGAAACAAGGGAAAACUUAAGUAUGAUACUUUGAAGGGAUAGGCAUCGGCAAUUCCACGGACAAAGUGGGCGAAUUGAAGGCCCAGAUGAAAUCCGGCUUAUUUCUUAACAAACUUGAGAUCCUACAUGUUAUGUUGAUAAAUCUCGAUGGUUCAACAGCUGCCCGUCCUAUAGUUGUUCAAACAUCUAUUCUCCUUGCUAUUGGGGCAGAUAAGAAGCCACCAUCAUCACGAAGAUUGAAACAGUUGGCUCAAACAUUAAGAAAUUCUUCAAGAAACUUGGGUUUGAACCACACUCUGUUUGGGAGAGUGAAACAGAUUAGCCUGUCCUCUUAUCUGCAGCAUUCACUAAACAAUGCUGGCAGUGCUCAUCCCCCAAGCCCAGCUCCAGAACCUUGCAAUCAACCCCAUUCAACUUAUCCGGAUGAUAAUGACAACCACCAUCACCAUGGUUACCACCAUCAGCACCACCAUCACCACCAUGAUUCUUAGUUAUCCGGGUUAGCAGCAUUUGACCCCUGCCCCUGCUCCUGCUCCUAUGCACAGCACACCAAUUUUUGUGAGUUGCGAUUCCAGUUGUGCACACAAGAAAGACAAUGGCAAUGGAAAGCACCGUUCAGGUCCUUGCAUGGAUCCUCCACUAUGGCCUAUGGCACCUGCAGCAUCUCCAAAUAGUUACGAAGCUUCAGGUCCUUAUGUAGACCCACCAGCAUUUCAUUCGAUGAUUCCAUCAUCUCCACUUCCCGCUGUAGUUCUUCAUGUAAUGCCACCAACUGAGAGUGUAGCCUCCCAACAAGUAUCAUCAAUAUCACCUGCACCAUCUACCUGUGGCUACAAGAUAUAGCAGAGUGCUAGAGCCAUUGAUCUGAACAUGAAUAUUAUGUUGCAUUGGUAACUUUCUUGUGUAGCUAAGAAAAAAUUUGGUAUGUUAUGCACUAAACUGACCUCUUAUGUCGUGUUUUUUGCAACCAGCUGUGUUGUGCCUGCACAUGUCGCAUCUCUUCUGAGUUUUCCAAAAAAAAAUGAAAACAAAUCAUAGACAUAAUUUGUAUUGUAUCUUGUUCACCAACAAAAAAUCAUCAAAAAGUAUGAUGAUUUGUAACUUCUGCAAAAAAGGAGAAAAUUGCAUAUUGCUACCACAAUUGCGGCUAGGGUUUCAGAAAACUACCACUUUUCAGGUCAACUGCAAAAAACUGACACUUUUGCGUUUAAUGGUUUCAAAAAACUACCAGUUCUGUGUAACAAUCGGUUUGGCCCAUUUGAUCAACUUUUUGACAGAGAUGGCCCACCAUGUCAUUCAGAUAGAAAACUUGAUCAAAUGGUGGGCCAUCUCUGUCAGAAACAUGAUUAAAUUGGACCAAACCGAGUGUUACACACAAUUGGUAGUUUUCUGAAGCAAUUAGACGUAAAAGUGGUAGUUUUUUGCAACUGACCGGAAAAGUGGUAGUUUUUUGAAGCCCUAGCCUCAAUUGUGGUAGCAAUAUGCAAUUAUCUCGCAAAAAAGAAAUAGAUAAGUGAACAGCAUCCUUUGCCAUUUACACAAUGUUUUUUUUUUGCAGGCACAAAUUGUUCGUACUUUUAAUGAGAUAUUGUAGGCGCACUAGAUGUAGCAUAAUAUAUAUACCCAUAAAUUCAUACCUUUUGAAAACUUAGAAAAGCUGCAUGCAAAAUGGGGUGCGGGUGCAGCUAGCUGCAGAUUUCCUGGAACAAAUGAUAGAAAUUUGAAGAUAUGCAAACAACAGAAGCUUGGACCACCAGUUUGCAAAUGAACCUGGCUAGCAAAAAGUUAUUGAUAGCCGUCUUCGGCAAUUUCUUAAAGGGUGUACAUAUGCAUGUAUAGUGUAGCAGAGGCUAAAGGGGGUGUAUUUGUGGUCAAAGCCAUAAUGACAGCAGGCCCUAAGUGCACUUACUUUCCCUGAGUUGCUUUGUACAACCAUGCGCAUGUCAAAUAAAUAAUUGCGCCAUUGUUAAGGUUUUAAGGGGCAAAGAUCGAACUCUUUCAGUUU